GACAGAGGCCUCAAGCGUUAGGCGGAAUCACUGGGCUUAAAGCGUGUGUAGGCGGAUCGUUAAGUGCCUUGUGAAAUCCCACGGCUUAACUGUGGAACGGCUGGGCAUACUGGCGGUCUUGAGCCAUCUAGGGGCGACUGGAACAAACGGUGGAGCGGUGAAAUGCGUAGAUAUCUGGAGGAACACCGGUGGCGAAGGCGGCAUCCUGGACCAAUUCUGACGCUGAUGAGCGAAAGCCAGGGGAGCAAACGGG
rnacentral:rRNA from 1 species